rnacentral:rRNA from 1 species
UACAGAGGUCUCAAGCGUUGUUCGGAUUCAUUGGGCGUAAAGCGUGCGCAGGCGGUUCGUUAAGUCAGAUGUGAAAGCCCCGGGCUCAACCUGGGAACUGCAUUUGAAACUGGCGGGCUUGAGUAUGGCAGAGGGGGGUGGAAUUCCGCGUGUAGCAGUGAAAUGCGUAGAGAUGCGGAGGAACACCGAUGGCGAAGGCAGCCCCCUGGGCCAAUACUGACGCUCAGGCACGAAAGCGUGGGGAGCAAACAGG